GGUCUCACAGCAUUGGACAAAGCAAAGGAACGUGGUCGUGAUGAAUGUGUGCAGCUUCUCACACAGCAUGAAGCUGACAAGGCAAAGAAGAAAAGUAAGAAGCCACUGCUGUCAUUAGAAACUGAAGUGCGAAAGCAGCUGUGACGGGCAAGCCUAGUCUGCAUAGCCACGGCGGGUGACGUCUGCCUCUCGUGUGUGUGUGUGUGUGUGUGCGUGUGUGUGUGUGUGCGUGUGUGUGUGUGUGCGUGUGUGUGCGUGUGUGAGUUCAUGUGAGCACGUCUGUGUUUAGAUGCAUGGGAUUUUAGGAAAUUAGUAAACGGACUUCUUGUUGAUAAUUUGCUUCUUGGUUCUCUCAAUAUCUGCUGAAUCUGUUCCAUACAUUCUAUUCGCCAUGCUCUUUACAACUGCAAGUAAAUUUUGCGAAUAAUUUUCAUUGUCGUUGUCGUCUGGUAAACAAAUUAAUUACAUCAUAGCUGAUCGUUGUCCUCCACCAGCCUGCACUGUGAACUUAGCCAGUUGUAUUAGUUGUUUGAAACUUUUUUCCCUCUAACUAAUUUUCUUAGUAUGCAGCGUUUGGCUGACUAUCGUGUACAAUUGACCGUGCCAUUCUUUUUUAUUUGUUUCUGACUUUUUCUUGUUUCCGUACACGUGACAAUAUUGCUGUUGCCUCAGCUUUGAUGUUUUGUAUAAUAAAUAAGUGUAAAGAUUAUUCCUGAUGAAAUUUAAACUCUCAGAUAUUCCAAAUACUCUUUCUGCUCUCAGACUAUGCUAGGUUCAAGUUUGAACUGAAGCUAGGCGGUUUACAGGAGAGUACGAGA